AGAAUAAGUGUACAGUGUGAAAUCAGCGAAAACGCGUCUAAAUGGUAAAAAGCUGUUGUGCUAUAGACUGUACUAACAGAUUAACAAGAAUUCGGAGCUAUCAUUUUACAGACUGCCAAAAAACACCGAGAGAAGAAGUAAAUAGAUCGUUCAUGCCAACACCACCUCAGACAAACACACACACACAGGAUUCAGUCCAGCUUGUUGCCAUGGAGUCGUCAGGGAUGGAGGCAGACAGGAUUUGUGUUUGCUUUUUGUUACACCACUCCACUGUAUGCAUUCUGCUGUAUCUGUUUGCAUUAUGCUCAUGUACUGUUAUCUUUGUUUCUCCUGAGCGGCAACACAUGGUUAAUGCUCUCUGAGUUUAUCCGAGGAGACGGCUGUAAUGUUGUCUGUGAGCCUGGGGCCGUAGACGGACUUCUGUACUCAUACAACCCCGCUUAAAGUCUUGAUGACAAGUGUCCUUCUGGUCAAGGGCACUAAUCAGGUCACCGAGAUCAAAAUACUCCGGACAGGGCCACCGUAUCAGAAGAUCGCAAGCAGAGAGUGGAUGUCUGUCCAAUGUUUGUCCAAUCCUCAAAACUACAUCUGACAUUAGGCUCCUCGAAAGAUCCCAUAUGCCCCAGAGACUUAUUUGAACAAGGUCCAAAUGAUAGCAAAUGACAGCUUAUGAUGAUGUAUGAUCUACAUACAGUGUUUAUUUAUGAUAAAAAAUUUAAUACAAUAAAAAUGGAUUUAGACAUUACUGAACCCAGAAAUUUAA